rnacentral:lncRNA from 1 species
AACACAACCAAGAAGGAAUUUCUCUCCUCUGACUCCUGCACGAGAAUUUUGAAAGCCAAAAGACUGAAGGUUAAAAGCUGAACUUUAUCUACAAAGCCCCUGAGCGGGAAACCUUGUCUUUUGACUCCGACGGUAUACUAACAAUCUCUCUUGCAGAAGCAGCAAGGCUGGAUUGAUAUCAACCAUGACUUGCUUUUCAAAAAUUCAGAUCUGUUUUCUUACAUAAGAUCUGGCUUCAGUCCUACUUCUCAGAAGAAAGAUGAAACCUCUUGGGGAAUCUGCUGUGAAUCACCAUCUCUAUUUCUGAAGAGCGCCUGGCUCUUGCUGAAUCUAGAAGCCAGGCCAGCUACU